rnacentral:rRNA from 1 species
UAGUCCACGCCGUAAACGUUGGGCACUAGGUGUGGGGUCUUUUCAACGGAUUCCGUGCCGGAGCUAACGCGUUAAGCGCACCGCCUGGGGAGUACGGUCGCAAGACUAAAACUCAAAGAAAUUGACGGGGACCCGCACAAGCGGUGGAGUAUGUGGCUUAAUUCGAUGCAACGCGAAGAACCUUACCUAGGCUUGACAUGUAUCGCUAAGCUCCCGAAAAGGAGUGAGCCUUCGGGCACUUUACACAGGUGCUGCAUGGCCGUCGUCAGCUCGUGUCGUGAGAUGUUCGGUUAAGUCCGGCAACGAGCGCAACCCCUAUGAUUAGUUACUAACACGUAAUGGUGAGGACUUUAAUCAGACUGCCCAGAUCAACUGGGAGGAAGGUGGGGAUGACGUCAGGUCAGUAUGGCCCUUACGCCUAGGGCUGCACACGUACUACAAUGCUCAGUACAAUGAGAACCGAUACCGCGAGGUGGAGGAAAUCUACAAAACUGGGCUCAGUUCGGA